GUGCCUAAUACAUGCAAGUCGAGCGAGCGGAACUAAUUUAUUUACUUCGGUAAUGACGUUAGGAAAGCGAGCGGCGGAUGGGUGAGUAACACGUGGGGAACCUGCCCCAUAGUCUGGGAUACCACUUGGAAACAGGUGCUAAUACCGGAUAAGAAAGCAGAUCGCAUGAUCAGCUUUUAAAAGGCGGCGUAAGCUGUCGCUAUGGGAUGGCCCCGCGGUGCAUUAGCUAGUUGGUAAGGUAAAGGCUUACCAAGGCGAUGAUGCAUAGCCGAGUUGAGAGACUGAUCGGCCACAUUGGGACUGAGACACGGCCCAAACUCCUACGGGAGGCAGCAGUAGGGAAUCUUCCACAAUGGACGCAAGUCUGAUGGAGCAACGCCGCGUGAGUGAAGAAGGUUUUCGGAUCGUAAAGCUCUGUUGUUGGUGAAGAAGGAUAGAGGUAGUAACUGGCCUUUAUUUGACGGUAAUCAACCAGAAAGUCACGGCUAACUACGUGCCAGCAGCCGCGGUAAUACGUAGGUGGCAAGCGUUGUCCGGAUUUAUUGGGCGUAAAGCGAGCGCAGGCGGAAGAAUAAGUCUGAUGUGAAAGCCCUCGGCUUAACCGAGGAACUGCAUCGGAAACUGUUUUUCUUGAGUGCAGAAGAGGAGAGUGGAACUCCAUGUGUAGCGGUGGAAUGCGUAGAUAUAUGGAAGAACACCAGUGGCGAAGGCGGCUCUCUGGUCUGCAACUGACGCUGAGGCUCGAAAGCAUGGGUAGCGAACAGGAUUAGAUACCCUGGUAGUCCAUGCCGUAAACGAUGAGUGCUAAGUGUUGGGAGGUUUCCGCCUCUCAGUGCUGCAGCUAACGCAUUAAGCACUCCGCCUGGGGAGUACGACCGCAAGGUUGAAACUCAAAGGAAUUGACGGGGGCCCGCACAAGCGGUGGAGCAUGUGGUUUAAUUCGAAGCAACGCGAAGAACCUUACCAGGUCUUGACAUCUAGUGUCAUUUGUAGAGAUACAAAGUUCCCUUCGGGGACGCUAAGACAGGUGGUGCAUGGCUGUCGUCAGCUCGUGUCGUGAGAUGUUGGGUUAAGUCCCGCAACGAGCGCAACCCUUGUUAUUAGUUGCCAGCAUUAAGUUGGGCACUCUAAUGAGACUGCCGGUGACAAACCGGAGGAAGGUGGGGAUGACGUCAAGUCAUCAUGCCCCUUAUGACCUGGGCUACACACGUGCUACAAUGGGCAGUACAACGAGAAGCGAGCCUGCGAAGGCAAGCGAAUCUCUGAAAGCUGUUCUCAAUUCGGACUGCAGUCUGCAACUCGACUGCACGAAGCUGGAAUCGCUAGUAAUCGCGGAUCAGCACGCCGCGGUGAAUACGUUCCCGGGCCUUGUACACACCGCCCGUCACACCAUGGGAGUCUGCAAUGCCCAAAGCCGGUGGCCUAACCUUCGGGAAGGAGCCGUCUAAGGCAGGGCAGAUGACUGGGGUGAAGUCGU
rnacentral:rRNA from 1 species